UACGUAGGGGGCAAGCGUUGUCCGGAAUUAUUGGGCGUAAAGAGCGUGUAGGCGGCCAGAUAGGUCCGUUGUGAAAACUCGAGGCUCAACCUCGAGACGCCGAUGGAAACCAUCUGGCUAGAGUCCGGAAGAGGAGAGUGGAAUUCCUGGUGUAGCGGUGAAAUGCGCAGAUAUCAGGAAGAACACCCGUGGCUAAGGCGGCUCUCUAGUACGGUACUGACGCUGAGACGCGAAAGCGUGGGGAGCGAACAGG
rnacentral:rRNA from 1 species